CAAUGACAUCAGCCUCUGUCUUUUUUCCGCUUUUAAUUAAUGUUCUGGAAAGAUGGGGCUGGGGAGGUUGUGAGCAUGGGGAGGGGGCGGGCUGGCGGGUGGAGUGGAACCCGCAGGCCUCUCUGCUCCAGCGGUCAGCUGAGCGCCGGCGCACAGACAUCCUUUGAUUAAGGAGGGUAUUUCGGGGAGUGCAGGCUGUGCAGAAGAUCACGGCUGUGCCCUGUGGUGCUGUCAGCAGUGACAGAUCCCAGAUGGGGCCGCUACUGUGUGGCAGAUUGAGUUUCUCAACAGAAAACUCACCCUUCCUCCUAAACGUCUUCAAAAACCUUCUCCGGAUACUCCAUCUAUCCAGGUCUCGUCGUCGUUUAAAAUAGAAACAGUCCAACCCCGAAGUUGGUUUUGACUGCGUGCCUGUACGCUAGGUUUAUUUUUUUUUUCUCUCCCUUCCUCUUUUGCUCUGUACUUCCUUCUCCUUUUUGCAUCUUCCACUCGCGAGGGCCACUCAUAGCAUAGAUGCGGUGGGUCUUGAGGAUUCCUGUUCACCAGGUUCAGGGCACCAGGUGGCCGAAUCAGCACUGAGGGGCCCCCAAAGGCAAGGCAAUUCGGUGGGUAGAAGCUCGAUGCGGGAUGAGUCUGUGGCGCGUUAGGGGAAGUCAAGGUGGACCCCGUGAGUCACACACUCUGGAACAGAGAAGCGGGGGUGGGGGUGGGGGGGGAGAUAAAGGAGGAAUCUGAAGGUACCUUGUCCCUGCUCCAGACGGCCUGGCUCUUUGGGGAGGCGGCCCGAAGUCCAAGAUAAGGGAGGCUGGCUCUUACCGCUGUGGUAGGAGUCUGUUGGGGAUAGGUGAGAGUCUGUAGGAACCAAGUACCCUUAGGAAGAGGGAGAGAGCUGCGGGGAUCCGAGCUGCGAUCUGAGCGACCUGAGCAGUGAGACCGGACUCGGGCCUUCUGAAGAUUGGAUUCCCAGAGAGACUCCAACUGUCUGGAAACUAAAAACCGAGACCACCAAGAGGGAAAUUUAAAGGAAAGCAAGAAACCAUGGAGAGAGGGACCGGCAACGGGAAAAAUUGUCCACCACUUUUGAAGGACGUGUGGAAUUUUGCAUAGUUCCCACAACACAUUCUGACUUUUCUCUAUGUACUUCCUAGAACCCAUUUUCCGUGUUCGUAUUUUGAAGAUUUUUGUUUUGUUUGCAUAUUCCUGUAAGUUGUACCGGUUGGCAGUAGAAGGGAAAAUCUGCAGCCGAGCGCAGACUUGGGUGGGGAACGAAAGCCCUGGCGGCGCCCUGGGUCCAAUCUAAGGCACUCCCCUCCUGGCUACCGCAGGAGCAGGCUGAGACGCCGCCCGCCUUUCCGAGCCUGAGCCCCUGGGCUGCUGGCCAUGGGAGUAAUCUGGGCCAGAGUGAUCGUACUGCAUUUAUUAACGACCAGAGAGAUUUCUUAAGCCAAGUCCCCAAAGAAAGGGAUCCAAAUGAGUAAAACAGUUGCAGCUCUGGCUGUGGCCAAGGCAGCGAGUCGGGGAAUCCCGACAGUAUUGCUGCUUCAUAGACAUCUCCUGGGUGUAGGACAAGUGAUGGUCCUUGGUGGGCUCCGUGCUCUAGGACUCCGGCGUGCGCGGCUGGAAGGUAAUUAUUUGAACGACUAAACUAUGCUACAACCGGCUGUGGAAAUUUGAAGACAUUUCUGGUAUACUUCAGAAAACAUUACUGCGCUUUUUUUUUUCUUCCGUAGCAGAUUUAGUGUCUCUCCUUUACUAAUAAUGACACUGUCUUAAAAGUCCUAGAUGGGUGGACAGAUUCGCCGUUCCUGUAGAACUGGAAACCUCUGUAAGAGCCUGAGUGACAAUCGAUGGAUGCAAUCAGGUGUUGUACACUUUGGUUUCUGAACUGAAUUAUGGCCUCUUAGACUCUGCAUUUACAAAACCGGAACCUUAAAGUGCCAUCUCGGGACUGUCAGCUAUCCUCACCACUGUGCGGUUCCUUCAAGUCUUCAGGGAAAAUCUAGAAUCUCGUAUUAGGGUGUAGUCUGUAGUUCGCCUUGCCUUCCCCAUCCUGCGACCCUUGGCUAAGAAUUUUAGUCCUUCCCUGGGAUCUCACUAGCGUCUUCUCAAACAUGCCUCCAAAUACAUUUUCCCAACCUUAUGGGGCAAGGUUUGGUUUCAAAGAAGUCCACGUUCUGCUCCCCUACCCCAGCCCAGGCAAGGGAGGGGCACGGAUUUCUCUUCCAUGCCUGUCUUUUAGGUUAGUCGCAAAUGCAUGACUAGAGAAUCUGAGAUUGAGAGAGGUCUGGAGUUGUGUUGGCCACAGGAUUCAAAUUGUGAAUAUACCUGUGGUCUUGGCCCUUCGAGAGCCUGGGCUGCUCCUAGAAACGAAGGCCAAGUGGCAACACCUGGGUCAGACAGAGCUCGGCCUCCCCUCCCCCAGCCCUCGCUGGGUGGGAAGAGUUUAAAGCCACAGGUAUUGCGCCCUUUUGAUGCUUCAUAAAAAGACCUUCUUUGAACACCAGGCGUCCUUUUUACUUAUUUAUUUUUUUCUCGGUAAGGAAAGUAAACAUCUUGCUUAUAUUUCCAUAGUGGUCAGGCUCUAAUUAUGCAUGAUUCCAGCAACAUGACUGCCGCAGCCGGAAGGCGCCGGCCUCAGAAGAUGCCUGGAACUUCACAUAGAUUUUUUUCUUUUUUUUUUUUUUUUUUUUUUUUUUUUUUUUUUUUUUUUUUUUUAGUUUAGACCGUUUGUGGAGGGUCAAGAACUGUGGUUGGAAAGGGGAUAGCCAGGAUUCCCCAAUUUGAAAAACAAAAAGCAAGCAAGCAAGCAAACAAACAAACAAAAACCCGUCUUAGUGAUACUAGCAAGCGAGUGAGAAGGCAACCAUCAGUGAGCUUGCCUCUGCCUCUGAGAUGAAGGCGGUCUCUGCCUCAAGGACAGCUCGCUCGACCGUGUCUGGUCAGCACCACCAUUCAACCAGGACUCAGUAAAAUCUACUGAACAUGUGAGACACGAAGAGAGUGCAGAAAGGAACCAGGCAAUGGAACAUCGGAAAACAUCUUUCUGCUCACGUGACCUUUACUGCAUGCAGUUCGGGAAGUUAUCUAAAGGGCUGCCAAAAACUUCUGACUGCAUUGCUCCAAAUGUGACUGUUUCUCAUACCUCACCACCCGCUAUGGAGUCUGCUGACUUGGGGAAAUUCAGAUUUCCUAGUCUCUUUCUAGCUUCUACCCCCACCCGACGGUUUGCAUUUGGAGAUGAUUUACCUUUCUUCAAUUCACCAGACCCUGUGGUUCCCAUGCUUACCUGAGCUGGUGGAUUUCCAAAUCUCCUUCUGCACAGGCAGAGCCAGGUUGAGGAAAGGUCAAAAAAGGAAGCCAGGCCUGAAGCCCAGGCAUACAGUAUUGUAUUCGGGGCAUGCCUUUGAUUCGUUCCAGAAAAAAAAAUAACUUGAAUGGGUACCCCUCUCCUAUCCCCCUCCCAUCCUUCCACAAACUCACUAAUUUCCAGGCCUGAGCCAGUCUCAUGCACUGGGAACCUGACCUUGUUUCCCUAAAGGGCCUGACAAAGGUCAGAAUACACACUAGUCGGCUACCACAAUAAUCCUGGUUGAAGUUCUACGGGAGAAGGAAUGAUUAUUGUUAUUGUGGAGGGAAGAGAAGCAAAGACCCCCUCAGUGCCCUCAACUUUUGUGCACUUCAUUUCAUGGCCACUUAAAAGACUGAGAUUAUCUCAGGAGGACCCUCUCCUGAAUACCAGCUGAAUACCAGCUGAAUACCAGUUCUUCCUGAGUAACCCACAUCUAGAUAUAUAUAUAUACUCGGAGGGACCGGCUCAGGCUGACAGGACAUUAUUGUGACCCCUGUGCGUCUUUCCUGACCCCUAGAGGCCAGAGUGAGCAGGGCCCAUGGACCCAAGUCCAAGCAUAAUACAAAUGUCUAGGAAAGGAGGCACUUCUUCAGAGGCCUGUGUAGAGAAAGACCAUUCAUCUUGGGCCCAGUGAAUUUACUCUGUCAAGACAGUCCAAGAUCUGCCUCAGCGAGGAGGGAGCAUCUACAGGAAGGUUGAGACAGGGACUGGCUAUGCAGCUGGGGCAGGAUAUGCCCAAGAGCAGAAAGCACAUUAGCGCUGGAUUAAAGGAUGUCCUGAUGUCACCCACCAGGAUAGUUUUGUGCCAGCAUGGUUAACAAGCCCUUUGAGAGCCAAGUCCUUCACUAUAUGCCACAAUCCAACCACAACGCUGAGGCUAAGCAGAGUGAUGCACACAUCCCGGAAGUGCUUGCUGAGACCCGGAAGCACCUGGGGCUGGCUGCCCUCUUCUCUAGGAGACCUAGGCUGCCCCUGUGUGUAAAGUCGUUUGUGGUCCCCUGCUGCUCCUGUCCCACCCACUUUUGGAAUAUACACUGGCUGAUAGAGGGAACGGAAUGGGCAGGUCCCCGGAGCAACCACGAGGAGAGUCACUCUUUGGUUUUAGUAAGCUGCAGUUCUGCCCUGCCGUGGCAUAGAAGGAUGCCAAUGGAGAGAAGAAUUUAUAACAGGAGCCCGAUGACUAAAAAACUCACUGUACAUUAUAGAAUAGAUGUACUAGAGAUAUUUGGUUGGGAUUUAUAAUUCCACACAUAAUAAAACGUCCCCUAUACUUCCCCCCUCUGUGUCCCUCUGCGGGAAACUCCCUGUGAUCCGGGAUGGGCGUGAGACUUGGGCGUGCAGAACCUGGGGCGCAUCCCUCAGCUCGCGGAGGAGCCGGGUUCGCGGGGCGACUGGCGGGCCUUGUGACCUGCCUCCGUGCCGCUGUAAGACAAAUGUUUCAGAUCCAACCUGAGCUGCUUUCCGCAGCACAGGAAACAUCUGGGAAGUUUUCUCCCGGCGUUUGGGAAAGUACUUUCUUCUGAACUUGGCGCUAAGGUGUCCUAGGACCCAGACAAACCUGGGUCUGAAGACGGGGUGCAGAGGUUGGCAGCCUUGCAAGCUGCCUGGGUGAAAACUGGGAGACUAACUGGUGGCAGGCACUUGGGUGAAGGACGAAUUAAACACUUAGUCCCGCGUCUGCGCCUUCUGGCCUCAUUGUUUUAACGUCUGUACUACUUAGCCACAGUUUGAGAAAGAAUAAUGCUUUUACAUUCAGAAAA
rnacentral:lncRNA from 1 species